rnacentral:lncRNA from 1 species
UAUGAUUGUCUGGAAUAGUUGAAUUUCUCUCACAUCCUGUUUGGAACCUCCGCAGAAUAAGGAAUUCACUACUUCAGUUCAGUUGCAACUGAGAACGUUGCAAUAGUAGCUCUGGACAUUGGGUUCUGGAAUUUUCACGUCUUUCGACUCAAGCCUAUACCUGUAGCAAACCGAAAUCUCGAGCACAAACACAUCUGUGGUACCGUUACCGUCCGAGAUUUUGUUGGCCACGUCAUCAGCCACGUAAGCAUCGAGCGUGGAGAGUUUGAAACUAACUAGUGUUUGGUUGGUGGUGGUUAGAAGCAAGGGACGCAACGAGGUUGCUGCGAGCAGCACACGUUGGUAAUGUUGAUCUAGACGGGACUGUAGUAGAAGAGCGAGACCUGGAGGCUGUCACAGUAGAUGUCCCACUUCUUGUUGGGGUUCAUGGGGUUCAUGGCUAGGUGAACUCGGAGGGGGUAUUGCAGGGCCGCUGAGUGGACUAGGAACUCAGGGUAGUUUUAGUACUAGUAGUGCCAACCAUGAUUUUAGAGAUGUUGGUGGCUUCUCGGACUUUGGCUUUGGCUUCCGGUAGUACAAAACAUAUUUUAACUUUACAUAAGUCAUAUACUUGGGCACAACUUCUUUUCAAAUCAAACAACUCUUGGUGAAAAUGAGUUUGUCAUUCGACUAUAGACUAGUCACAUAUCUAUUGUGAAAA